rnacentral:rRNA from 1 species
GACGUAGGGCGCGAGCGUUGUCCGGAUUUAUUGGGCGUAAAGAGCUCGUAGGCGGCUUGUCGCGUCGACUGUGAAAACCCGCAGCUCAACUGUGGGCUUGCAGCCGAUACGGGCAGACUAGAGUGUGGUAGGGGAGACUGGAAUUCCUGGUGUAGCGGUGAAAUGCGCAGAUAUCAGGAGGAACACCGAUGGCGAAGGCAGGUCUCUGGGCCACUACUGACGCUGAGAAGCGAAAGCGUGGGGAGCGAACAGG